GACGUAGGAGGCGAGCGUUAUCCGGAUUCACUGGGCGUAAAGCGCAUGUAGGCGGAUGUCUAAGUCGUGUGUUAAAGCCCCUGGCUCAACUGGGGGAGGUCAUGCGAGACUGGAUGACUUGAGGGCAACAGAGGCACGUGGAACUCCCGGUGUAGCGGUGGAAUGCGUAGAGAUGUGGAGGAACACCAAUGGCGAAGGCAGCCUUCUGGGCCAACACUGACGCUCAUGCACGAAAGCGUGGGGAGCAAACAGG
rnacentral:rRNA from 1 species